AUUCCAGAUAAAUCCAUGGGUUUUCUACAGUACUAAAUAUCUCAAUAUGCUUGUCACAAGACUGAUUCAUAUUGAAAACGUGUUCAAUUUGAGAAAACGCAAAUUUGGUGGUAAAAAAGAGAGAAGUUAUAAAAGCUUGAUAUUUAUUUUGAGAUAACGUCACUUCCGACAUGUGGUGCUCUUCUCGAGCAGGAAAAUUUUCUACCAAUCUUUUUAUUUAAUUUUCUCAAACUUUGUUCAACUUUAUUUUCGCAAAAACAUUUUUUAAAUAAACUGCCCACAUGUUUAUUUUUUUUAUUAAUUACCGAUGGUUGUGUGAUUAAGUUUUGAGACGCCAUUCACACCGCAUAUAAGAAACAUUGAAAGACAAGGAAUUACUGGUCCGAUGUUUAACACCUUACAAAUCGGAUAUAUGAUAUACAUACGAACGGAAUUGCUCAAGCGCAUCGUACGCGUUGGAUAAAUUAGCUAAAUUUAAAAUUCAUCUUGAAAAUCCGCGAAGACGAACCACCUCCUAGUCCAGGGUGUUAUGCGACUCCCGUGUCCAUUGGAUGAUUUGCAGCCAGGAGCUGGCAUGAAUGGUGCCACACUCAAGUGGUAUUUGAGGUACCUACAAGAUGUUAUGACACCAGAGGCAGCAGAGAAGGGGUCUCUGAGCAGGAGCAAAAAGGAGGCAGGAGCGUCGGCUACCAGACGUAGGAAUUGGAUGCGUCUCCCAGCCAACGGAAACUUGCCGAAGAGACGGAACAGCUAAAGGUCGGCACAUCAGAAUGCCACAUGUCGGUUCACAAAACAGAAAAGCGGGCAGAUAACUCCUCAGGCGCCGCCAAGGACGAAUAGGGUCAAGGAGAACAAACCACAGGCGGUCGAAAGAAGACGCUCCACCAAAAUCUGCUGCUGGCGGAAACGGUACAGCCAAGGUACUAGGAGGCCUUAAAAAGCAUUCGGAUGGCGAUGCUGCCCCGUAAUUACCCGCCAGAGGUUUUGGGAUAUGAAAAGCAAACGGUAGGAACCAACGAUGCAGGCGGACGAGAUACCGACUCACUCCGACGCCAACUCAUCUAUGGUUACAAAAGAAGCGGCACGAGACCCCCAAAGACACCAAUUCGGCUGUGCAGGUUCCAACUGCGGCUAGGGGUGAAGGAAAGCUCCCAAUGAGAAGGAUGGGACGGUACCAUCCACUUAAAAGAUUGGUGAGGAUGGUGGAGACGAGGACGUGAUUCUCAUCGACAGGGUCUCAUCGAUCCCAGAGGCAGCUAGAUAGCACAAGGCGUUGUCAAGAGGCAAGACGGACAUAGUAUUUUCCAUCAAAAGACAGGACGGGACCUAUACGACUAGUACGGAGGAGAGGGCAGAGACACUCCUGCAAAAGCACUUCCCGGAGACGUUCAGGCUGACCAAACUUUAGCAUUGGUCGCAGGUAGGCCAGAUCGCCUAGAAUGGCUGACUGCAAGGAAAUUGUUCACUGCAGGCCCAAUCAGGUGGGCACUGGCCUCCUUCUCAAACUAUAACAAGGGGCGGAUGGCAUCUUUCCAGCUCUUUCUCUGCAGCAAGGUAUGCAAGUUCUUUUGCCACAUCUGUUGGGGUUGCUGAGAGAUAGCCUGGCGAUGUCGUAUAUCUCAGAGCCAUGAAGAAUUGCGAAGGUAAUCAUCAUCCCCAAGGUAGGUAGAAGAGACUACUCGUUGGCCAAAUCAUUCCGGCCGAUUAGUCUCACAUCCUUCAUGCUAAAAGGGAUGGAAAAGAUAGUAGACAACAUUUAAGAUCAGAAGCGCUGAAAAUCGUACUGUGGGGAGAGAAAGAUUCGUCUUGGUACUACAAGGGGCUGCCCACAGGGCGGAGUACUAUGCCCCCUGCUAUGGAGCCUGGUAGCAGAGUACCUCUUUGAAUUGCUCACUAGCAAUGGAAUUCGUUGUCACGGGGUACGCGGACGGCAUUGUGAUAAUGGUGUGAGGAAAGUUUGAGAACACUCUUUGCGACAUCGUUCAAAGGGGCUUAAGUCUACCAAAGGGAUGGUAAAACACGGUAGGGCUAAAUAAUAACCCGGCAAAAACUACCGUGAUCCCUUUUACUUUUUUUCAAUAUUUUUUUAUUUAUUGGAUCUGCGUAGUAAAGCCUAACAAUAAGUAUUCAAAUCUUAAAUCUAUUUAAAACUACGUUUUUGAUUGCAGGAAUUUGCCAAGGCAUUAGGAAUGGGUUUGGAUGUUCGCGAAGUUUAAAAAUAUAUCUCAUUCUGCUGUCCUGAUGGGCUUUUGUUACGGCUUACUAGAGUUGUGUCAUCCGCGAAAGUGGAUGUCAAUACGUUAGUAAAUGUUGUCUGCUGUAUAUAUUAUGUACAGAGUUGGGCCCAGCACGCUAUCUUGAGGUACACUAGCCUUUAUUACUCGUUGUUCUGACAUGAAGUCUGCUACUUGAACUGUAAAUUUCCUGUUUCUUAAAUUUGACUCCAAAAUUUUAUACAGUUCAUAAGGUAAAACGUUUUUGAUUUUCCAUAAGAGGCCUUCAUGCCAGACCAUGACAAACGCCUGAGCUACAUCUAGAAAAAUAGCUGAACAGUACUCUCAGUGCUCGAAUGCUUUCCUGAUUUGGUUUAAUUCUAUUUAUUUGCUCUAAAGUGCCACGCUUAGCACCGAAUUGGUGCGUUGGUAUUAUAUUAUUUUCGUAAAGGAAAGGAGUCAUCCGUAAUAGUAACACUUUUUUAAAUAUUUUAGAAAUACAGGGUAAGAGACUUAUUGGUCUGUAGGAAGACGGCUGUGUUAUUUCUUUACCAGGUUUAUCUAUCGUGAUGAUCCGCGACUUUUUCCACGAAAUUGUAUUGUAUCCGAAACCAAGAAUUGCAUUAAAGAGCAAGGAGAGCACCGUUAUAGCAAUAUUUCGUAACCCAAUUAUCAUUUUUGGAGUAAUAUUAUCGUGCCCUGAUGCCUUUUUCGGACUUAGCUCUUUUAUGAUUCUAGUAACUUCAGAAGUUGAAGUCUUAAUAGACACAAGCGACAAGUUUGAGUUAUUGGGCAAGGUUGGCAACUUAAAGUUGUUCUUUGGGAAAUUAGGGGGAAAUACCUUUUCUGUGUAAACAUGAGAGGCAACACUUAAAAAAUGCGUUCGGUGUAGACCCAGCUCCCCAUAACUUGGUAAGCCAAAUGGUCGAAUCGGUAGAGAAGUAGAAAGCUGCUUGCGAAGUUGCCGCCAGGGUUAUGAAAUCCCAACGUGCCAGCGAACAUCGGCGGAGAAGAGAGCUGUUAAAUAUAACAGACAACCACGACUCAAAAACACAAACAUUGACAUGACGGGAAGUCUUGGUGACGAACAAUGCACGAGGAGGGUUAUCAGACCAACACAGGUGGGGCCAAGUAAAUGCAACUUGCAACUGAAUGCAUCUUGACCAACACGCAUGAGUGUCACUCAACCAUCGUCGACGUAAUACUUGCCGGUGGUGCCGGGGGGAACGGUACAUGACGGUAGGACAUUUUGUUCGGAUUAAAGUCCACUCUGACUUGAGGUUCAGGCAAAAAAAACCUUUUCUAGGUGUUCUGCAAAGCAAUUUGCCUUAUCCCCAUCACUACGUGCCCAGACACUGUCUUAGAGGCAUGCUAGAAUCUACUGGUGGCUUCAAAGACUUUUGGGCUUACCAAAGGGUGUUUUGCUUGCUAGAAUUUGGACACAUUCCUUGGCCUCACAUUAGGCUCAUCCUUACGGUGGAGUAGACAUAUGGACCUAACGCUGUCCAAAGCCACUAAGGCACUCUUGAUAUGCAGACGCUUGGCCGGCAGAUCCACGGGAUGCAAGCCAAGUAUCAUUAUAUGGCUGUAUACCAUGAUUGUAAGGCCUAUUGUCACCUAUGGAGCGGUUGUUUAGGCUGCCAAGGCAACGCAGUCUUCGGUAGGCUUAGGGGUAGUCAGAGGCACGAAGAAAUGAAAAUUUUCAGUAUUUUUUUUCGCUAUUAAAUCAUGUUAUUUUAUAAAAGUAGUAAUAUGGCAUUAUUAUAAGAUCUAUUGACCUGUAGUCACGAAAAUUAAAAAAAAAAAUUUAAUUUUCAAAGUUAUAGUUGUUUGUGUUGACCCAGUUCCAAAAAAUGGUACUUGCGGUGACAACCAUAAGUCCUUGGAGAGUCAUCUAAAAUCAAUCGAACAAAAAAAAUUAGUUUUGUAAAUAGAUAAUCCUGCGCCUGAUCGAAGCACUUUAUUUUUUUUCAAAAAUUAACAAAAUGGCGGCCUCAGGAAAUUUUUUCUAACUCAAAAACUAAUUAUCGGAUCAACGACAAAUUUUCAGAGAAUAUUUUUAAGAUAUUACACUUAACGGAAAUUAAAAAAAAAAAUAAUUUUUUGAAAAUUUUAACUACCCCUAACCCCUUAAACUAUCAAAGCUGCAAAGGCUUGCGUGUGUCUGUGCUUCAGGGGCAAUGCACACAUGCCCCACUGCAGCGCUUGAAGUCAUACUGGAGCACGCACUGCUGCACCUGGUGAUUAAACAGGUAGCGAAACAUACUGUUUCAACUCAACAAAGAUUUAUCAUUCCUUACCGCUGGUGGGGAGAAUUCAAACAGUCUUUCGUCGAGUGAGAAUUUAUUCAUUCUGAUUUUAUUUUUAAAUUUGAAAACCUUAUAUAUAUUUUUCAAAAUAUAGUAUAUAUAAAUAUAUGUGUAUGUUUAUAUGUAUGUAUGUUGGCUGUACAAAAAACUCACCUUAUAGGCCACUCACACUUUUUGUUAUAAGGAAAAUGCACUGAAUUCCGAAAUUCGUUAUAAAACCUUUUAUUUCUAUGCAGUUCAAAAUUGGUAUAACCAAAUGUGAUUUAAAAUUUAGAUUAAACGUUAAAUGUAUGUAUAUUAUAUACGAGUAUACAAAAAUUAUCAAAGUAAUUAUAAGUUGAAAACAGCCGGUUAAAAAAACG